GGAGGAUCCAAGCGUUAUCCGGAAUCAUUGGGUUUAAAGGGUCCGUAGGCGGUUUGAUAAGUCAGUGGUGAAAGCCCAUCGCUCAACGAUGGAACGGCCAUUGAUACUGUCAGACUUGAAUUAUUGGGAAGUAACUAGAAUAUGUAGUGUAGCGGUGAAAUGCUUAGAUAUUACAUGGAAUACCAAUUGCGAAGGCAGGUUACUACCAAUGGAUUGACGCUGAUGGACGAAAGCGUGGGGAGCGAACAGGAUUAGAUACCCUGGUAGUCCACGCCGUAAACGAUGGAUACUAGCUGUUCGGGGCAACCUGAGCGGCUAAGCGAAAGUGAUAAGUAUCCCACCUGGGGAGUACGUUCGCAAGAAUG
rnacentral:rRNA from 1 species